GGAGGAGUCGGUGAAUUUUUAGUUUGGCUUCUCGUUUGUUUUGUGCUUGAUGCACACUCAGAUUCAGAAGGGGCCACUCUAUUUACCUGCUUCAGGAAUUAUGACUUUCAAUAUUGAAGCUUCUUUUAAGGAACCCAAAGUCAAUGACUCAGCAUCAGUUUAGCAUCAACUUUCCUUUUCUGACGUCUCAGCUCUGACUCCAUAGGACCCCAGGUUCUUCAUUUGCUCAUUUCUGAACUUUGAAUAAAUGAUCUAAGU
rnacentral:lncRNA from 1 species